ensembl:lncRNA
CAGAUACACUGCUGCACAGACGUCCUGCAGACACAAUAAAAGUGGUCUACGUACUGAUUCGCAGAUUCACUGUUCUUCAUGGGGUGUCUACUUGUGUGUUUGGCCGUCCUGCUCUUUAUGAACAGAUUAAAAAGAAGAUAAAUGAAACUGUUCCUUACUGUUGGCCCAGUAUGUGCUGUAUGUACUGAUUGGUUGCCAGGUAGACUUCUGUGAAGGUGAGGGUCCCUUGGGAUCAAUGGCUGCUUGUAGUGCUGCUUGUUCUUCAGGGCUCAAUAGGUUGUCAGCUGUGGGAACAAUGAUAAUUAUAUGUUGUGGGUCAGUCGGAAGCACACAAUCCUCCCAGUCAAGCUCCUGAAGGUACAGUUUGUAAACAGAAGCAGAACGUUUUAAAAUGGAUUAAUCAUUUAAUGUGCAUCAAAUCAUACAUGCUUCCAAAACACUGUAACACCAGUGACC